rnacentral:rRNA from 1 species
CCGGAGAAUGUUAUCACGGGAGACACACGGCGGGUGCUAACGUCCGUCGUGAAGAGGGAAACAACCCAGACCGCCAGCUAAGGUCCCAAAGUCAUGGUUAAGUGGGAAACGAUGUGGGAAGGCCCAGACAGCCAGGAUGUUGGCUUAGAAGCAGCCAUCAUUUAAAGAAAGCGUAAUAGCUCACUGGUCGAGUCGGCCUGCGCGGAAGAUGUAACGGGGCUAAACCAUGCACCGAAGCUGCGGCAGCGACACUCAGGUGUUGUUGGGUAGGGGAGCGUUCUGUAAGYCUGCGAAGGUGGCCUGUGAGGGUUGCUGGAGGUAUCAGAAGUGCGAAUGCUGACAUAAGUAACGAUAAAGCGGGUGAAAAGCCCGCUCGCCGGAAGACCAAGGGUUCCUGUCCAACGUUAAUCGGGGCAGGGUGAGUCGACCCCUAAGGCGAGGCCGAAAGGCGUAGUCGAUGGGAAACGGGUUAAUAUUCCCGUACUUGGUGUUACUGCGAAGGGGGGACGGAGAAGGCUAUGUUGGCCGGGCGACGG